rnacentral:rRNA from 1 species
UACGUAGGUGACAAGCGUUAAUCGGAAUUACUGGGCGUAAAGCGUGCGUAGACGGUUAUUUAAGUCGGGUGUGAAAGCCCCGGGCUCAACCUGGGAAUUGCAUUCGAGACUGAAUAGCUAGGGUACGGUAGAGGGGGGUGGAAUUCCGCGUGUAGCAGUGAAAUGCGUAGAGAUGCGGAGGAACACCGAUGGCGAAGGUAGCCCCCUGGGCUGACACUGACGCUCAGGCACGAAAGCGUGGGGAGCAAACAGG